rnacentral:lncRNA from 1 species
AAUGAUGUUUCGCACUCACCAAAGGGGACUGAAGAAUCCACCCCCACAGAUACAGGCCUCCAGGGCAAUAUACUUUUACAACCAGAGACCACAAGAGAGUCACCAUCCAUCGAAAAACAGAUGAAAAAAUUUGUUUGUCAUCCAGCUGUCAGUAGACAUUUAGAUACUGAAGAUUGCCAAAGGCUAUUCUUUUGAAUUUAAUAAAUUGAUGUAUUGCCUUCUUUUAGAAUAUAUCACACCUACCCAAAAGGAAAGAACAGUCACAAUCACAGAACACUUAUGUGAGAUUUCUUCCCUUAAAAAAUAUCCAGCAGUUAAUACUCGAAUCUAUAUUUCUUAAGUUACAUUCUCUUUCAUAUUCACAUUUAUUAGUUAAUUUUGUCCCCUCAUCCAGGUAAAUCCAUCACUGAGGACAGGGCAGCCUACAUCCAAAGAAAUACAGGCAAACAUGACUUAUUUCUUCUUUAGUUUCUAUAUGUUUCGAUUGCUAUAUUUGAUAUUAAUAGUUAAAAUUAUAUAUAUUAAAAAGUCUUGUUCUUUUUAGGAUGACAGCCUGAUGUCACAUUUACCAGAGACUGCGGAAGAGGGGAAUUCAUCAGAAGUGCAGAAUACCAACCAUGCCUCUUCAGGUUUCUCAAAUGUCCAUGUCACAGAUACUAGUUGGCUGAACAUCCUUGCAUUUUCCUUGAAGCAUAAUGUAACAGGGGCUUUAAUGGAGGACCUACUGAAGCUGUUAAGGUUAUGCAAUGGGGAUGGUGCAAGCAUCCCACGAAGCAAGUACAUGCUAGAGAAGGCGUUUAAAGAUUUUGUAGACAAAUCAGAAUACCAUCAUUAUUGUGGUGUUUGCAGCACUUACAUUGGCCUUUCAGUGUCUAAGGACAGUGAAUUAAAAUGUCAGAUUUGCUCAUCAACACAAACUGUGAGACAAAGUUUAGAGUUGGGCUACUUUUUUAUUUGCAUACCUCUGAGGGAUCAACUUAAAUUUCUUUUGGAGAAUGAACCUUUUAUAAACAUUUACAAUGACCAAAACAGAGAUAGAAUAACGGAUAUUUCUGAUGGGAAGCUGUACAAAUAUCUGAAAUCAAUUAGCGAUUCUUUCUUUUCCCUGUCAUUUAAUUGUGAUGGAGUGCCUGUGUUCCAGUCAUCUAAAUUCAGCAUCUGGCCCUUACUAUGCUCUGUUAAUGAAAUACGCAGAGAGGAAAGAGAUAAAAAUGUCAUACUAUGUGCCUUGUGGUUUGGGUCAUCUAAACCACUGAUGAGUAGCUUCCUCAAACCUUUUGUGGAGGAAUGCAAAAGUCUUGGGACAAAACGGGACUUCAGUGGCAGGAGCCAGUAGAUCACUCAAUCAAAACUGCAAAGGUCUAUGCAUUAUGUGCUAUAUGUGAUGCUGUAGCACGGCCUUUACUGCAAAAUUUCAGUGUGGGCACUGUCUUCAUCCAGGUGUUCAAAUGAGAAAAGGCAAUGGGACUGUGCGAGUGUAUCAUGGUUUGGAGGAGAUGCCAGGACUUAGAGAUCACAACACAACUGUGCAAAUAGGUGAAAUUGCCCAAAAUAAUGAGCAGAGCAUUUUGGGUAUAAAAGGGCCAUCUCCAAUUGUGGACUUGCCCCAUUUUGACCUGAUCAAUGGCAUGGUCCCUGAUUACAUGCAUUGUGUGUUACUGGGGGUUUGUCGGCAAAUAGCCACUUUAUGGUUUGAU